rnacentral:rRNA from 1 species
GACGAACGCUGGCGGCGUGCUUAACACAUGCAAGUCGAACGGAAAGGCCCUGCUUUUGUGGGGUGCUCGAGUGGCGAACGGGUGAGUAACACGUGAGUAACCUGCCCUUGACUUUGGGAUAACUUCAGGAAACUGGGGCUAAUACCGGAUAGGAGCUCCUGCUGCAUGGUGGGGGUUGGAAAGUUUCGGCGGUUGGGGAUGGACUCGCGGCUUAUCAGCUUGUUGGUGGGGUAGUGGCUUACCAAGGCUUUGACGGGUAGCCGGCCUGAGAGGGUGACCGGCCACAUUGGGAAUGAGAUACGGCCCAGACUCCUAGGGGAGGCAGCAGUGGGGAAUAUUGCACAAUGGGCGGAAGCCUGAUGCAGCAACGCCGCGUGCGGGAUGACGGCCUUCGGGUUGUAAACCGCUUUCGCCUGUGACGAAGCGUGAGUGACGGUAAUGGGUAAAGAAGCACCGGCUAACUACGUG